UCGAGAAUAUUUCGCAAUGGGGGAAACCCUGACGAUGCGACGUCGCGUGCGGGAUGAAGGCCUUCGGGUUGUAAACCGCUGUGUUAUGGGAAGAAUCGCUAGUUGGUGAUAAGCCAGUUAGCUUGACGGUACCAUAGUAGAAAGCCCCGGCUAACUCACGUGCCAGCAGCCGCGGUAAUACGUGGGGGGCUAGCGUUGUCCGGAAUUACUGGGCGUAAAGCGCGCGUAGGCGGUCAGAUCAGUCAAGUGUGAAAUUGCUUGGCUCAACCAAGCAACUGUGCUUGAUACUGUGUGGCUUGAGUACGGAAGAGGAAAGUGGAAUACACGGUGUAGCGGUGAAAUGCGUAGAUAUCGUGUAGAACACCAGUGGCGAAGGCGGCUUUCUAGUCCGAUACUGACGCUGAGGUGCGAAAGUCUGGGGAGCAAACGGGAUUAGAUACCCCCGUAGUCC
rnacentral:rRNA from 1 species